AACCAAGAUCGGAUAUAGCUGGUUUUCCGCGAAAUCUAUUGAAGUAGAGCGUAUAACGUUCAUGGCUUGAGGUAGAGCACUCAAUGGGCUAGGGUAGCCCAAAGCUUGACCGACCCCAAGGAAACUCCGAAUACGGGCCAUGGGUUUGUACAGACAGACUUCGGGUGCUAAGAUCCAAAGUCGAAAGGGAAACAGCCCAGAUCGUACGCUAAGGUCCUUAAGCAAUCACUUAGUGGAAAAGGAAGUGAUCGGGCGAUGACAACCAGGGGGUGGGCUUGGAAGCAGCCAUCCUUCAAAGAAAGCGUAAUAGCUCACUGGUCUAGCUUCAUGGCACUGAAAAUGUCUCGGGGCUCAAGUGACUCACCGAAGCGACGAGACCUUGAAAGAAGCUUUUUCAAGUGUCAGUAGCGGAACGUUCUGUCAAUCGAGGAAGGUUGUUGGUGACAACACCUGGAGGUACCAGAAGUGAGAAUGCUGACAUGAGUAACGAGAAAUCAUGUGAAAAACAUGAUCGCCUGCCAGUUCCAGGGUUUCUGCGUUCAGUCAAUCUACGCAGAGUGAAUCGGUCCCUAAGGAACCCCGAAAGGGCAACGUCCGAUGGGUACACGAAAGCGACGAAGUUGCUUUGACUACUGAACCAUGCGUGUUUGUUAAACUCGUGAAUUGGAUGAUUGGGCAGGGGGCUACAAAGUCACCCCGGCUUUACGCAGGGUUUCAACUCCCGGGAAAAAACUUCGUGGAAUUGGGAGGGCGAUUCGAAAUUUGAAGUGCAAAACCAACCGUACCCCAAACUGACACGGGUGAACAAGUAGGAUAUACUAAGGCGCUUGAGAGAACCAUGUUGAAGGAACUCGGCAAAAUGGCCCCGUAACUUCGGGAGAAGGGGUGCUCUCCUAUCGAAGGAUUGGGAAAGCGGCACGUACCGGGGGUAGCGACCGUUUAUUAAAAACACAGGACUCCGCUAAGUGGUAACACGAUGUAUAGAGUCUGACACCCGCCCGGUGCUGGAAGGUAAAAAGGAGAAGUGUUAUAAGCUUUGAAUGGAAGCCCCGGUAAACGGCGGCAGUAACUCUAACUGUCCUAAGGUAGCGAAAUUCCCCGACAAAGGGGUGGUUUGACAGAGAUGUUCGACAACACAAUCGGGCAAUACGCCGGGACAUCCGUCCGGGUUUCAGUAUCCAACACUCAUACAGAACGGGAUGAAAUCAAAAAAAUCCGGCCGUCGAAAGCGCGAAGCGCUUUCAACCAACCUACGGCCUAUCCACGGCUGAAUGGAAAAUGUGGUUGGUGGCGCGGACCAUCAGCAGGAUAGCAAGUUGGAAAUACAUCGUCUUUCGAGCCCUUCCCUUCCCUUCCCUUCCCUUCCCUUCCCUUCCCUUCCCUUCCCUUCCCUUCCCUUCCCUUCCCUUCCCUUCCCUUCCCUUCCCCGCGGCCGACCAUUUUCGUAGCCUCGCGCUGUGCGCCCGCGAACGUAGUUCCAAGACCUAAACUUGAUCCCCAACGACCACAUGCCAGACAUCCUUCGAGAUGAUGAUAUAGUCCGAACUUGUAGGCGACUAUAAGGCCAUAGGCGAGGAUGGCAUGGAACUGAAUACCAUCCAUUGCCGUUUGAUUAACAUCAUUGUGUCGCAUAAGUAGCGACCUGCAUGAAUGGUGUACACAGUAGGUUAUGCCAGCCUUCUAAGUAAUUAUUAGGUUUUAGGCCACAUUACAUGCGGGAACACUUUAAAGAUCUAAGUGCGCUUGUCCCCAAAGACUUAGAUAUGACACAAUGGACGAUCCGCAGGAUUGGGGAAUGAAAAAGCAUGCACUCGCUCCAGAUUGGAAAAACAUCCAGACUGGAUAGCAGAGGUCCAAUCCCCAGAGACUUUACGUGGAGCACCCAGGCUUACCGCUAUGGCUUAUUUUUUCGGAACCAAGAAGGAGGCCCGGGUAAAGAGAAAGCCCAAGCUAAACCAAAAGGUUUAGCGAGACUUACAGGUAACGACUGCCCCGCUGUCUCCAACAUGGACUCAGUGAAAUUGAAUUCUCCGUGAAGAUGCGGAGUACUAACGGCUAGACGGUAAGACCCCGUGCACCUUUACUAUACUUUUGCAGUGACAUCCUUGAUUUAAUGUGUAGGAUAGAUGGGAGGUGAUGGCACGCAAUGUCGCCACCAAUCUUGAAAUACCACUCUCUCGUCGUUGGAUGCCUAACCGCCGCUGCUGUCAGAAGCGGGAUAUUGCAAGGUGGGUAGUUUAUCUGGGGCGGAUGCCUCCCAAAGAGUAACGGAGGUGUGCGAAGGUAGGCUCAAGCUAAUAUUCUGACAGCUUGUGAGCGUAAUGGUAUAAGCCUGCCUGACUGUAAGACUUACUAGUCGGACAGAGACGAAGGUCGGCCAUAGUGAUCCGGGAGUCCCGUGUGGAAGGGCUCUCGCUCAACGGAUCAAAGGUACGCCGGGGAUAACAGGCUGAUGACUCCCAAGAGCUCUUAUCGACGGAGUCGUUUGGCACCUCGAUGUCGACUCAUCACAUCCUGGGGUUGAAUAAGGUCCCAAGGGUUCGGUUGUUCGCCGAUGAAAGUGGUACGUGAGUUGGGUCUAGAACGUCGUGAGACAGUUCGGUUCCUAUCUACCGUUGGUUUGCCGAGAACUGCGAGAAGCUUGCCCUAGUACGAGAGGACUGGGUUGGGUCAACCUAUGGUGUUCCGGUUGUUGUGCCAGUAACAGCGCCGGGUAGCUAAGUUGGUAGGGAAGAACCGCUGAAAGCAUCUAAGCGGGAAAUCCUUCUCUAGACAAGUUCUCCUACCAAGUGAAAGAACAUCACUUCGAUAGGCGAGAGGUGAAAGCGCCGCGAGGACGAUGGGCUUCCUCGUACUAAUCUAUUUCCAGCCGAAAAAGAGAAGAGAUAGGCAAUAAAAGUUUGAUACGAAGACGAUUUCUCCCAUGAAAUGUCCACUCCUAUAAACCGUAAGAGACAUUCAUACUGCUUUGCGACGGGCAACGAACCGGUGCAUGGCUCUACCCUUUGAGCUACGUAAGCCGCAUAAUUCGCUAACAAUAGUCUUACUAGUUCGGAUGGCACCCUGCCGGAACGGAAUCCAAUGGUAUUUGCUUAAGAAGGGCGAAGCGCCUACCUAGCUUGUAUUUGUAUUUUCGCUUUCAUAAUGUAUUACUCCUGGCUGGCAUGCCCUCGGAAACUAGCCACCGGGUAGGCUUCUUCUAGUCUAUGCCCUAUCAUACGGUCCGUCAUGGGUAAACCGGAAAACAGCGCCCAAGCACUAUAAACUGCCAUGAAUGUCGGGAACACACACAAAAAACAGAAUAAAAAGGAAAUGACUACUGAAGACGCAGUCAUAGAUUGCGUGAUCGAAUAUGGUGCUCGGUAGGCGUUCGGUAGGUUCAAUUCCUACCGCAUCGAAAAGAAUGCAUUGGAUGGAUGCCUGGGCAUUGAGAAGAAAGGACGCUUCCAAAGGCGAAAGGCCAUGGGGAGAUACCGUCUGUGAUCCAUGGGUUUCCAAUCGGGAAACCGUAUCCAAGCUUGCCGGGCAUGCCGUGUGCUGCGGCUCCGCCUCGGACUUGAGAGACUUAGCGAACUGAAACAUCAUUGUAGCUAAAGGAAAGGAAAUCAACUGAGACUCCGUUAGUAGCAGCGAGCGAAAGCGGAUUAGGCAAAGAAAGGGGAAGGGGCCCCGAGAGAGGGACCCCCGCUUUCCCUGGCCCUGUGCGGGGGAGAACUUGCAGUAGGGGGAAGGGUGGGAACCCUUCCUCAAGGAAUUCUGAAAAGGUUGGAAGAUCUGGCCAAAGAAGGUGAUAGCCCCGUAGAUCUUUCCUUGCAAGUUUGAUUACUAUCGCAAAACGCGGAUACCGUGUUUGAUCGCUUUUACGUGACUAAGGGGGACCACCCUCGCGGCCUAAGUAUUCCUCAAUGACCGAUAGCGUACCACAAGUACCGUGAGGGAAAAGUGAAAAGACCCCGCCGUAUGCUUUUCCGGGAGUGCAAUAGAAAACCUGAAAUCCGGUGCAAACCAUCAGUCGGAAGAGCGAAGCUGAGAAAACGGGGGCAAAGCCACUAAUGUUCGAUGGAACGCAUACGCGAAGCUGAGAAAGCGCUGUAGCUUUCAGGGGCAAAGCCACUAAUGUUCGAUAGAACCCUUGAGCGAAGCUUCGCGUUGUCGGCUCUCGCUCGGCGCACUUUCCACCCUAACGGCGUACCUUUUGCAUAAUGGGUCAGCGAGUGAAUGGGAACAGCGGCUUAAGCCAUUAGGUGUAGGCGCAAUGAGGUUGAAUCUUCGGCGUUGUUUCUAUUUGACCCGAAACCGAUUGAUCUAGCCACGAGCAGGUUGAAUCGAGCUCUCCACAGAGGCCUUAGAGGACCGAACUCACGUAUGUGGCAAAAUACGGGGAUGACUUGUGGCUAGGGGUGAA
rnacentral:rRNA from 1 species